rnacentral:misc_RNA from 1 species
GAUGAAGAACGUAGCGAAAUGCGAUAAGUAAUGCGAAUUGCAUAAUUCAGUGAAUCAUCGAAUCUUUGAACGCACAUUGCGCCCGCCAGUAUUCUGGCGGGCAUGCCUGUCUGAGCGUCGUUUCGACCCUCGCGCCCGGCUUCUGUCGGGGGCGGUGUUGGGGAUCGGCCACACCCUUCAGUGGGAGGCCGGCCCCUAAAUUCAGUGGCGACCACGCUGUAGCCUCCCCUGCGUAGUACUAAAACCACCUCGCAGGCGGAGAGCGGUGCGGCCCGCCGUAAAACCCCCCGACUUUUACAAGGUCGACCUCAGAUCAGGUAGGAAUACCCGCUGAACUUAAGCAUAUCAAUAAGCGGAGA